CAAGACGUAUGGUACAAAUAUUUCGUGAUUUUUGUAGGUAUACAUUAUUAUUCCCCAUGUUAGAGGAUUUAAAGCGUCGGUACCGAGUUGUCCUCCUCAAAAUAUCUCUAGCUCUGACCGAAGAGGAGAGAAAACAACUUUUAUUUUACGGGAAAGACUAUUUUCCGAAAAGCUUUGCGAGUCCUCUCCCCGCGGUCGUUGAAAUAUUUGACCGCUUGGAAGACGCAGAAGCUAUUUCAUUGUGGAAACUCGACAUCCUGACGGAGUUUGCCGUCGCAAUCAACAGGCCAGAUCUUGUCAAUGAGCUGGCUGGAUUUGAAUUGACAAGAGAACUGGUGAUGCGCGCCUUAAAAUGGCAUGGUUCCCAGCCGUCUAUGAACUCGUCGACUGAAAGUGUGGGACUUCAUCUGGCGGAAAUGGUGGAUCAUGUCCAAGAUCGAGUUGAUUUUCCAACCCAAGGACUCAUCAAGUUCCUCCUUACAUCCCAAACAAAAGCCUCUGAUGUUUUGGACGUGGUCUGUCGGGAAGCGUUGCCUGAUGACGAUGUGACCAAGCCGAAUAGCUUAGCCUUGCUCGUCGCCAUUGCAAGCGAGAUUGUCUUGCUUGUGUUUGAUGAAAACCAACAAGAGAAUCAUCGAAAGAAGUAUGCAGUGGCCGUUGCCAUCGAGCUAGCUGACCAUUUAUUGACUAAGGUGGCCAACUUUGGCAGCUGGGAGGAUGUCUGCCAUUUUGUCGGCAAACAAUGUGGUUGUCAUUUCAAUGAGGUUCUUCUGGAACCAACCCCUGAAGGUCAAGAUGAACUCCAAGAAAAUGCUAUGGAGAUAGAAUGAAGGGAACAAAUUCUUCCCAAUGGAUGAAGGAAUGACUGGUUAAGAGUUUCUAAACCUAGAUACUCUUAUCAAGGAACUAGCAGUAAUGACUCAUUACUGCGCUUCCCCUCUUAAGGACUGCCACCUUGCUGUGGUGGAGGGGCUUGUGUGUUUCUAUGAUCCUGAGAACUAAGCCGGGGGAGGCAUGUGAGCCUCUGGUAGGUACAACCAAGCCGGAAAGAUCAACGGGGAGAAACCAGACCAAAAGGCAGUCAACAUUCUAAUUAAACACUCCAUCAUUUUGAACGCGUUAUGCUCAGGAAGCAUAUCUUCCAGAAGAUGCUUCAUGUGGUCUUUGUGAAGGCGACAAUGCAACAGUAAGAUGCCAAGACUGUGGGCAUAGACAGUUUUUUUGUAGACCAUGUGCCAUUGCUCUACACCAAGACCGAAAUAUCUUUCAUUCAUUAGAAGUCCUUGAGAAUGGUAUGUUUAUUCCGCUAUUCCUGGACAAGAAGCCUUUACGUGUCCAUGGACACUGCUGUACAACCACAGAAGAUAUUAAAGAGAUCAUAUGCUUUGAUCAUCGUUGUAUUCAACAUUUGAAACAUGUUGCAUUUUGUCAGUGUGAAAAGCCAGCUAUCCCAUUGCUUCACUUGCAACUCUGGCCAGGGACUUUUCUUUAAGCUUCCAUCGUGAAUACAGGUAUUUCAAGUAUCAAACUACCUAUCUUGUAAAACAGUUCCCCCAGCUUUAUAAUGGUGCUACUUGUCCAUUAAGCCCAAAGGAAGAAGGAGUGCUGAUUCAAUGCAUGGAUGCAUGCUUUGGACUCAGCAGGAAAAAGGCACAGGGAAAGCAAUUAUCAGAAGCAAACCAUAACAAUGUCCUCUAUGCUGAUCAAGAUGAUAUGGACGAUUUUGUGGAACAGUGCCAUGGUGACUGCCAGAGUAGUGAGCCGGAAUGCAGCAGAUUUCGUGCAGGAGAAGUUUUACCUGCCUUGCACUCCAAAGGAAAAAAACCAACUUUUUGAUGAAAAGGGUGUGUUUUGGGUCUGUUUGCCAUCAUGACUGCCCUUUAUCUUUUCACAGUAUUAAGUAUGGUGAAAGAAUUUCUUACUCAGUGUAGGAGUUGAAAAAGAUAUGCCAGCUAGUGAACACAAAACCCCUUCUCAAGGUGGUUGUAAUGUACGAUAUUGCUUGUAUUCUGCCAACACAUCUGAAGUAUUCUCCUAGAGGACAAAAGGAGUGGGGCUUACUGAUGGAGAAGGGACAGAGGGGCUGUGGUCCUUUUUAAGGGAUUUCUCGAGAAUAACUAAAGAAAUGGGCCCUGAAAAGAGAAAUGACACGCUGACUGACGGUCUUAUUCAUUAUGGCUAUCUUCUUAGAAAGAAAUAUGGUCCUGCUUUGAAAACCAAGCUUCUCAGAGCAAUGGAUUUACACCAAAUCACUUCUGACGACCUUGAUGAAGCUAUGAAAUCACUUCCAUUCAAGUGUGAACUAUCAUUGAGGAGUGGAUUGCUGUAGAGAAUGAACAGGAUGACUCAAAAGAUUUAGAGCUUCUCUGGGAUGAAAAAUAUGUAGAUCUCCUGACUCAAAAGUUGUCACUGAGGAAUGCAGAAAAGCAAGCCACUUCGAUAGAAGAUAAUGCAUCUCUAAAAAAGAAAAUCGAAAGGAGGAAUUUUGCAGUGAUAUAGAGGAAAGAGCCCAGCGGAUUUGCGGACAGGAUGUCAACAUCCUCCCUCUUUCAGGCUUCAGGGAGCAAAUAGCCAACACCAUUCAAGUGCUGGAGAACAGCAUCUUUUUCUAAUUGAUGUAGUCAACUCUUGACUGUGUUUAGAGAAGAAAGACUUUUUUUUAGUAACCUGAUAGAUCAUUACACACGAAAAAGUCUCUAAAGUAGGUAUCGUUAGCUCUCUAUUUUCUGAGAUUCUGUUUCAAAUCUCAGUGAUUAACGUUCUUAUAGAAAAGUAGGCAUCUGGCAACCUUAGCUCGAGUAUACAAUUGGAGGAUGAAAACCAACUGACAUUGAUAGUCUGGAAGGUGCUAGGUACGAUUGCAGUGUUUUCUUGUGUAAUGGUCUCUUCUUUUUGAAAAAAACAAACAAACAAAAAAAUUCAAGGAAAAAAAGGAUGGUAAACGAAAUAAGAUACAAAAAAAAGUGAACAUUUUCAAAAAGGAAAACAAAUAUAAAAAAUAGGUCACAAAAUUCAAGUAAAAAAAGUGACCGUACUCAGGUACAGUACAUCAGAGAUGCAAAAACGUUUGUUGCUAAAGGAAACUCCAAUUUGCUACACUGUAUAAGUAAAAGAGAAAAUUAUCUCUUGAUAAUGAAGAUUUCUGUAUUCCAAAGUUCAGCUAUGAAGCGAAAAGCAAAGGAAACUUAAAAAAUGCUGAAUACAAAGUUACAGAAAGCACAUAAAGCAUCAGAGAAAAAAGUUGUGGCGGUAAAAAAAAACAGUCUUGUCAGAGAAACAAAAAAGUGUAAAUCCAAUAAAGUUUUACAUUUUCAUUCCUUAAA